UCAUCAGUGACACUGUAUAGUAAUAUAGAGGGACCUAAGAACAAUGAGGUGCCUAUGGUUUAACUAAGAUAAUCCUGAAUGGAGUAUGUUUUCAUACUGAAUCGAUAAAUCGACAUUGUUAGAAUUUGAUAGAAAGCAAUGUAAUCUAGCCGAAUUGGAUUGUAACACGUCGACCUAAGGUUGGUAAAAUAUUACUAAAUGCAUUACAACGUUAGUCUGAAAUCUGGCUUUCAAGGAGUACAAGACAAAGAAAUACGAAACUUGAAGAGUUCACCAGUAAAUUGAAAACCACUUUAUCUACAAAGCAACAACAGCAAUGGAUAAACAGAUAAGACUGACUACCUCUUCAAUAUUCCAAGGGAUGGCCUAUCGCGCAAGCUGACAUGGAAACACACAACAUGAACGAGGCAGUGGAAAGAAUAGCUCUCGAUCAAAACGACCAGGCCUUCGCAACGCAGGAUCUAUUGCAUCUGGCCUAUUUGUUGCUCCAAUUACAAUAACCUGCAAUCAUACAUUGUUAUAAUAAAUAAUGAUCGUGAACUACCUCUCCUCUGUUGCACAGGCCGUCCAUAAGUGCUAGUAGUGUGGAAACUAUACUGGCAUGGAUUUGAUCCUGUUUUGUACUUCUGACAGGUGCUAAGCCAUCUAUCUCAUCGAAGAAAAUUAUGGAUGGCUUUUUUUGUUGAGCUUGUUCGAAUAGUAGCCUUAAUUGUCGUUCGGACUCGCCAACCCAUUU